UUGGAGGGCAAGUCUGGUGCCAGCAGCCGCGGUAAUUCCAGCUCCAAUAGCGUAUAUUAAAGUUGCUGCAGUUAAAAAGCUCGUAGUUGAAUUUCGGGACUAAUGUAUCGGUCGUGCCUCGGUACGUACUGGUAUUUUUGGUUUCUCCCUUCUGACGAACCUUGAUGUCAUUAAUUUGGUGUCUUGGGAAAUCAGGACUGUUACUUUGAAAAAAUUAGAGUGUUUAAAGCAGGCUCACGCUUGAAUACAUUAGCAUGGAAUAAUGAAAUAGGACGUUUGAUUCUAUUUUGUUGGUUUCUAGGAUCGACGUAAUGAUUAAUAGGGAUAGUUGGGGGCAUUAGUAUUCAAUUGUCAGAGGUGAAAUUCUUGGAUUUAUUGAAGACUAACUACUGCGAAAGCAUUUGCCAAGGAUGUUUUCAUUAAUCAAGAACGAAAGUUAGGGGAUCGAAGACGAUCAGAUACCGUCGUAGUCUUAACCAUAAACUAUGCCGACUAGGGAUCGGAU
rnacentral:rRNA from 1 species